GCUACCGGACGUCACUGUUCUAGCGUUGCUGGUCCCUUCGUCUCCACUAGGGGUCCUCACCUCAGUAUCUAGCAGCCUGGGACGAAUAUGCGUGCUGACCCAAAUCCGCCAGCCUCCAAACAAUACCCCCACCUCCCUCAGCCCCCACUGUGGAAAUCUAAGCGUGCCAAACAGGCCACCCCUGCCUGGGCCUCACAGGCCUGACAGCAGCGGCAGGGCUCUGUGAAUGUGCCUUUUUUGGGGAGAGGUCUUCUCAUCCGCCCUCAGAGUCCUCACCUUGAUUCCCGUGAAAGCCAAGACUCUCUCUCUGCACAACUGGGGUCACCCUCUUCAGACAAAGGCCCUUCCUUCCCCGAGACUAUACAGGGUCCUCACCAUGACACCUGGCCAGUCUUGGGGCACUCCAUCCUCCACUGACCUGAGGCUGUUCCCAUCAGAUCAAGGGAAGAGACUGUCCAGGAUGAUUUUGGGAGCUUCUGAUCUUUUGAGAUUACCUGAUAUUGCUUGUGUAGAUGAAC
rnacentral:lncRNA from 1 species